rnacentral:rRNA from 1 species
CCUACGGGUGGCUGCAGUGGGGAAUAUUGCACAAUGGGCGCAAGCCUGAUGCAGCCAUGCCGCGUGUGUGAAGAAGGCCUUCGAGUUGUAAAGCACUUUCAGCGGGGAGGAAGGCGGUGAGGUUAAUAACCUCAUCGAUUGACGUUACCCGCAGAAGAAGCACCGGCUAACUCCGUGCCAGCAGCCGCGGUAAUACGGAGGGUGCAAGCGUUAAUCGGAAUUACUGGGCGUAAAGCGCACGCAGGCGGUCUGUCAAGUCGGAUGUGAAAUCCCCGGGCUCAACCUGGGAACUGCAUUCGAAACUGGCAGGCUAGAGUCUUGUAGAGGGGGGUAGAAUUCCAGGUGUAGCGGUGAAAUGCGUAGAGAUCUGGAGGAAUACCGGUGGCGAAGGCGGCCCCCUGGACAAAGACUGACGCUCAGGUGCGAAAGCGUGGGGAGCAAACAGGAUUAGAUACCCUUGUAGUC